AGUGGGGAAUUUUGGACAAUGGGCGAAAGCCUGAUCCAGCAAUGCCGCGUGAGUGAAGAAGGCCUUCGGGUUGUAAAGCUCUUUUAGUUGAAAAGAAAAAGUCAUGACUAAUAGUCAUGACUCAUGACGGUAUCAACAGAAAAAGCACCGGCUAACUACGUGCCAGCAGCCGCGGUAAUACGUAGGGUGCAAGCGUUAAUCGGAAUUACUGGGCGUAAAGGGUGCGCAGGCGGUUCUGUAAGUCAGAUGUGAAAUCCCCGGGCUUAACCUGGGAAUUGCGUUUGAAACUGCAAAACUAGAGUGCGGCAGAGGGGGGUGGAAUUCCAUGUGUAGCAGUGAAAUGCGUAGAGAUAUGGAAGAACAUCGAUGGCGAAGGCAACCCCCUGGGCUAGCACUGACGCUCAUGCACGAAAGCGUGGGGAGCAAACAGGAUUAGAUACCCUGGUAGUCCACGCCCUAAACUAUGUCAACUAGUUGUUGGGCCUUAUUAGGCUUGGUAACGUAGCUAACGCGUGAAGUUGACCGCCUGGGGAGUACGGUCGCAAGAUUAAAACUCAAAGGAAUUGACGGGGACCCGCACAAGCGGUGGAUUAUGUGGAUUAAUUCGAUGCAACGCGAAAAACCUUACCUACCCUUGACAUGUCAGGAAGUUUUCAGAGAUGAAAUCGUGCUCGAAAGAGAGCCUGAACACAGGUGCUGCAUGGCUGUCGUCAGCUCGUGUCGUGAGAUGUUGGGUUAAGUCCCGCAACGAGCGCAACCCUUGUCAUUAAUUGCCAUCAUUUGGUUGGGCACUUUAAUGAGACUGCCGGUGAUAAACCGGAGGAAGGUGGGGAUGACGUCAAGUCCUCAUGGCCCUUAUGGGUAGGGCUUCACACGUAAUACAAUGGCGCGUACAGAGGGUUGCCAACUCGCGAGAGGGAGCUAAUCUCAGAAAGCGCGUCGUAGUCCGGAUCGGAGUCUGCAACUCGACUCCGUGAAGUCGGAAUCGCUAGUAAUCGCGGAUCAGCAUGUCGCGGUGAAUACGUUCCCGGGCCUUGUACACACCGCCCGUCACACCAUGGGAGUGGGUUGCACCAGAAGCAGGUAGUCUAACCGCAAGGAGGGCGCUUGCCACGGUGUGAUUCAUGACUGGGGUG
rnacentral:rRNA from 1 species